rnacentral:tRNA from 1 species
GCCGAAGUGGUGAAAUUGGCAGACACGCUAUCUUGAGGGGGUAGUGCUCGCAAGGGCGUGCCGGUUCAAAUCCGGCCUUCGGCA